UCUUCUGCUACCGCAGAGAAGAAAAUGGUGAUAAGUUGAGAGAUUACAAAAGGAGAACUCCGCACAUUCCACAGAGAAAAAGAAAAGAGGAGAUGAUGUCUCAGGUUGGUGUCUCUUCUGCAAUCAGUCCCAUGGACUCUUCCAAUUCCCCAAAAGGGCUGGACCAGGUUUAUCUAAUAGACACGCGCUCGUGCUCGCACACAUACACACAUGUUGAGGUUUCAGCAUGAAGAUAGUCUCAGGGGCAUCUUUCAAAUUACUGCUGGAGUUGUAAUAUGGCAUUCUGCGUGAAGCUAAAGUUGUAAGGUAGGAGCACUGGAUAUUUGAUUUGCAAUCUGUUGUGGACUGUAGCUAAUAGCAAUAUGCAGCAUACUCACUUGUGUCUUUUAAUUCAGUUUUGGCACAUUGAUAGAGCUUUAAAUUGUGCACCUGUGGUUUUCAUUUUGAUACGGUGCAGCGCAUUUGUUCC